rnacentral:rRNA from 1 species
AUGCCUGUUCGAAAUGUGAAUUAUAGUAUUUUUUAUUGUGGGAAUGGAAAUGAAAAACACGAGAUACUUUUUCUAGAAAUGUGGACUAAUGGAAGUUUAACCCCUAAGGAAGCACUUUAUGAGGCUUCUCGUAAUUUGAUUGAUUUAUUUCUUCCUUUUCUACACGCGGAGGAAGAGGGCGCUAGUUUCGAAGAAAAUAAAAACAGGUUUACUCCACCCCUUUUUACUUUUCGAAAAAGAUUAACUAACCUAAAGAAAAACAAAAAGGAAUUCCAUUGA